AAAUUUUUUAUGACCAUAAAAGUUUCUCCAUCAACUUGUAUCAUAAACAAGAGAAUAUCACAAAGGGCCAUCAUUCAAUAUGAAUAAAAAGUUUUCAAGGGAGGUAAAAACAAACAAAUUGGUUUAAAGGGAGAAAAAAAUUCACAUUCUUUCUGCAUAAAGUUGUUUGUACAGGGAAUUGUAACAAUGUUUUCUUUCGCAAACAUUAGAUCAGAGGAGAGAAAUUGGAGUUCUUUCUUCCAUUCAAAUCUUUCACAUAGUUUUAGGUUUGAAACAAAAAAACAGAAGAAAAUUAAAUAAUAAUGCCAUUUCAUAAUGUCAACAAUAAAACAUAUAUACAGUUCAAAUAUUACCGAUACAAAAUCAGUCAAAUACUACACCAGGCAAUCGGUGAUAAAUAUUUGCCAGCUUUAAAUGAAAUGUAUUAGGUGUGUUAAAAAUGACUUCAUGAAAAACAAUUCGUGUGCCCUUGACAACGUCCAUUAAAAAUAAUAAUAUUGUCCCUUGCUAUUUCUUUUUAAAGCCCUAUUGUUAUUAUUAACACGAUAAAUUCAAUAUACAAUGCACACAAAAACCCCCCACAUAAAUGAGGAAAUAGAAAUGCACUGAAUGAGCCCCAAGACGUGGACUUUUGUAGUGUCCCUGUGAACCAAUCAGAUCAGGUUCAGUGUCCCUAUGAACCAAUCAGAUAAGGUUCAGUGUCCCUAUGAACCAAUCAGAUCAGGUUCAGUGUCCCUAUGAACCAAUCGGAUCAGGUUGUAGAAACUACGUUCAAUCUCCGACACUUUCUUCUCAAACUAAAAAAAAAGAAACCACCAGUGUCCCUCUCCCCUUCAACAGUUCUCCUAUAAAACUUUUGGUAAUAAAGCCUUUUUACAUUUCCUUUCUUAAAGAUUCAAAGUGCGAGCAGACUUGCAGCGCGCGCUCCAUCACGCGGUGGACAAUGAUUUCAGUUGGUUGACUAACUAAAUGUAUUUGACACUGUAGUGGGUUGAGACCUUAACAGAUCAAAGACUUUUUCUCAUACCGGGUACUUCAAAUAUUUUCUGUACAAUGUCAAUGCACAUCCGUACAAAGGGAAAAUGUUCAGAUAUUGACAAAGACAAUACAAAAUCUUUUAAUACAAUUGAUUAAUUCAGAUUGCAAGAAAACACAUUUGAACUUUUAAACUCGAGGUGCCUUGCCUUUUGGGGUAUAACUGAAGUCUAAAAUUAGCUUGUGUUACUUACAGAGUUCCAAAUCAAUCAUGAUUUACAUUCAAACAUGUGAUCACAAAUGUGUUUGUGAUUGUAUUCUCAGGUGUUGUCACAAUUCAAAACACACCCAAACACACACACACAAAUGCAUAUAUAUUUUUUUACAUUAUAUGUAUAUAACAAUCAAACGUGCAAUAAGCACAAAAUUCUGUAUAAAAGGAGGUGGGAAAGUGUUCUGUGUUAAAUAUGUACUAAUCGCUGGAUUGGGAUUUCUUAAGAUAAUGAAGGCUCAUAAAUUGAGUUGAACAAAAACACCAUAGCCUCUUUGCUCGUCAUAUUUCUAUUCAGUUUCUUCUAAAGACGAAGUGAUAACUCUUAUAACGUGUGUCCUGUGAUAGUGAGGGCUCGUUACAUUGAGCGGUACCAUAGCAUUAAGUUUUCAACUUGAUAGCUAGGAAUACAAAAUAGUUCAAAGAAAAUAACGCCCAUGAUGAGACACACGCAGGUCAUUUUUUUUUUUAUAAUAUAAAUUUUUGAAAGACCCAACCGGUACAGAAAGAGUCGCUACUGCCCUAGAAAUGAAGGAGCGAAUAUUAAAGAUUACGCAUGGGAUCUUCGCUGAUGGAUAACAUUGGAAUUUUCAGAGCUAUCUGCCCUCAAUAGUGUUCUGGAUAUUGAAAGACAAUUCUACAUAUCUAACCGAGAGGCCCGAAUAAGACUCUGGCCCAGAAAAUCCCAAGACAAGAUUGUAUGAAGAACUGCCUGGUCUGGAAACCAUCGCAAAGUUGAUCUCAGUUUUAGGACUAGUUUCAGAACAUGAAAAGAACUCAUAAAGAAUGUAUCUAUCUAUGCGAAGAAGAACAAAAGAAUGGAAAAAUAUAAGCUACUUCAAUAUAGUUGAAGUUGAUAUAAGUGUGAGUGAAUGAAAAUAUAGGUGUAUUAAUAUCGCUAUGGAGCCAAGAUUGUGUGUGUGUGUGCAUGUGUCUUCACAAUUUAGCCAACAUUCCAUAUCGUGCGCAACUCUCGUCAGUUACUUGUGAUUGUAAGAACAUAAAAGCCAAUGAAGCUUCUAUGAAGAGACAGUGAAACAAGCGUAUACCCCUACUGAUAAUGAGACUUAAUCUAUUUCGGAAUAAACAUUCUUAAGAGUGGAUUACCAGUUAUUGUGGAAAUCAUAAGGUUGGUGAACGACUUAACAACGUGAUAAAUAAAACAUAUUUCGUGAAGAAACAUUCUCAAUACAUAUACAAAGUAAGAGGCAAUACUAUAAAUGUACAAAAUAAAACAACAAAUGACUACCAAAAACAAACCUAUAAACUAAACGUGUAUAACAUAACUGGCCUUUUAAUACAUUGUAGAGUGCAUAGUACAUUAAAUGUCAAAAUGUUACAUGUUAUGUGUAUAUAAUGGAUACAUAUGUAUAUGUUUAGAAACAUAGCUUACUGCAGUAUAAACCAUAUAGGUUUCUGAACAUAGUGGUGCAAAACGGACCUUUUAUUUUACAGAUUGUGGAGUCAUCUUUACAUCAAAAUCAACAAGGAGGGGUGUGUGUAAAGAAAAGUACUACAACAAUCAAGGCAAGCAAAGACUUAAAAAAACAACUUUCACAUCAGUUCUAAUCGCCGCCGAUGUAAAUAUAUAUAGAUAUAUAUAUAUGAGGUAUGCUGAGGUACGCUUGGUGGCAGGAUUCUGUUUGUAGAUAUACAUACAUAUAUAGAUAUUAAUACAUUUGGAGAGAGAGAGUGUGUAGAAAGAGAGAAAAAUGGCAGAAAACGAAGGUUUCCAAUGUAAAACAAAAAAACUAUCGUUUUGCCAAACCUUGUCUAAUAACGAUCUGAGAGAGAGAGGAGAUGAAGCACAAAAUAAAUUGUGAAAAUGUCGCUUUGGUUUCAGGAUCCGCGGACCAACCACCAAGUGUUGGGAGUACAAUGGUUGGUUGUGCGCCUGGGUGGGGGGAGGAGCAUGCAUCUGUAAGAGUUUUAAGAGGGGCAAUAAUAUGGAGCUAAGUAAGGGAGGGGUGGGAUUCAGUUUGUCAUAUAUUGGGGGGGGGGGGAAGGCUAGAAUGAGAUAAUUAAUGACCUAAUGAACAGAUCAGAGGGUGAAUGGGAUAUCAGUUCAACAACCAUUGUGACUGUGAACGGCUCCGUUGCCAAGGUUACAGAUCUAACAGAAGUUGUACAUUAAUUAGUGGUUUCUCAAUGCCUUUUUUUUUUUAGGGAAAGGGGAUGGGGUAAAAUCAUGUCUUUACUAUCCCUCCAACUUUGACCUUUGUUAGGUUCAACUGGCUUGACUUGAAUCUAUUAAGUUAAAUAGUUUUUAAAAAAAAGGGGGGGGGGGAUAAGCUGGGGAUGGGAGGGUGAUAAAGAGUUUACCUGUGCGUCACUGAUUUGUUGAUAUUGAAAAUAAAAUUCAUCUAAAAUGUUUCUAAAGCAGCUUUGUGGUUUUGCUUUCAAUAAACCUCGUCGCAAACUUUAACUGUAAGAACAAGUGCAUGCCUAUAGUCGAGCGGGUUAAUGAUUAAGUACGUUUUUUGGUGGUUGUUGCUUGUUUGUUUUCUAGUCUAGAUGAAAUGUAUUUGGCUUUGUUUCAAUAACUGUCCUUAAAGAAUCCGUGAUUACUAAAGUACUUAAAACUCAUUUUUAAAACGUCACCUAGGUAACAGCAGUUGAGUCUCAGAGUAAUCUCCCGCAAUGUGUCUACUGUUUGGUUCUUACUAAUGCUAAAGACAACCUCUUGAAUUUAAGUUAACAUUUCUAGCAUGACACUAACUAGUUGUUUUUUUGACUCCCCUCCCCAGAGUUGCCUUUUAGUGUUGCCCUGAGGUCAACAACAAAUCACAUAAAUAUUUAUAAAGAUAUAUUUUUAAUGGCUCACACUGCACAAGACUGAUAGAUGUCAUGUUUAUAUUCUUUUGAAUUGCUGACUUAGUGACCUAUAAUCUAUCACUAUCUUUGGUCAAUUGCUUUCAGCUAGACCACACACUAUGGCAAUUUGUAGUGGGUGUCAUUCGUUUUUGUUCUGGGUUUUUUGUUUUGUUAUUUGGUCUUGGUAAUGUUUCUUUCACGUUCUAUAGACAUCGACAGCAAAUCUACGAUAUGCCCUAUUAUGGUCGAUGUGCUGGUGUGCAUAGAACAUACACUGGGACAUACAGACACAAUAAAUACAAUAUUUUAUAAAAAAAACAUAAACAUUUAGCAGGACAUGUGAAAAGCUAUUGUGAAAGAAUCGAGUUCUGAGCUUAGGGAGUGACAUCAAUUAUGACAUUUGCAUUUUAUUUACAGAAGUGUGAGUAUGUCACUUAUCACAUACGGACUGAAGGGACAGUCUCAACUCCUUUUGUUUUCUUCCGGUUGUCGUCUGCUUAGUUAUAGUUGAAAGAAAAAGGAUGAGUUACUUCCCUUGGAAGAUUAGCCUGUAUUUAUUUCUUGGUAUAAGAUGGAUGGAUUUCGUUUUGUCAAAUGAAAAUGGCUACAAUUGCUGAGGUAAUUGAUAUAGUAAUAUAUGCUAAAAAUAAAAUGGGGGGGGGGUGAAAUAACCAUUUUGAAUGACGGAUUUACAAUUGUGCCUAGAAGGCUGAGACUAAUGUAGUUAAAAAAUUUUUUGUGAAUUGGUUGGAAAGCACUUACAGUUGAAAAGUCUACCCAAUAACAAGUUCGGAUACAUUCUCUUUUUGGAAUUCACAGCAAAUGAAGACUUUUCAAACACUAUAUUUCAUUUGUACUU
rnacentral:sRNA from 1 species